UACGGGGGGAGCAAGCGUUGUUCGGAUUUACUGGGCGUAAAGGGCGCGUAGGCGGCGUGACAAGUCACUUGUGAAAUCUCCGGGCUUAACUCGGAACGGUCAAGUGAUACUGUCGGGCUCGAGUACGGAAGAGGCGAGUGGAAUUCCUGGUGUAGCGGUGAAAUGCGCAGAUAUCAGGAGGAACACCGAUUGCGAAGGCAGCUCGCUGGGACGUUACUGACGCUGAGACGCGAAAGCGUGGGGAGCAAACAGG
rnacentral:rRNA from 1 species